GACGAACGCUGGCGGCGUGCUUAACACCUGCGAGUCGAACGGAAAGGCCCUGCUUUUGUGGGGUGCUCGAGUGGCGAACGGGUGAGUAACACGUGAGUAACCUGCCCUUGACUUUGGGAUAACUUCAGGAAACUGGGGCUAAUACCGGAUAGGAGCUCCUGCUGCAUGGUGGGGGUUGGAAAGUUUCGGCGGUUGGGGAUGGACUCGCGGCUUAUCAGCUUGUUGGUGGGGUAGUGGCUUACCAAGGCUUUGACGGGUGGCCGGCCUGAGAGGGUGACCGGCCACAUUGGGACUGAGAUACGGCCCAGACUCCUACGGGAGGCAGCAGUGGGGAAUAUUGCACAAUGGGCGGAAGCCUGAUGCAGCAACGCCGCGUGCGGGAUGACGGCCUUCGGGUUGUAAACCGCUUUCGCCUGUGACGAAGCGUGAGUGACGGUAAUGGGUAAAGAAGCACCGGCUAACUACGUG
rnacentral:rRNA from 1 species